UUUUUGUAUUUUUGUAUUUUAAUCGUUUUUUUAUAUUAUUUUUGCCAUUUUUAACCCCCAUUGUCCGGAAAAAGUGGCUAAAAACGCCAUGUAAAAUAAGGUCAUGACGCAGC
rnacentral:ribozyme from 16 species